rnacentral:sRNA from 1 species
AUAGACCCGAACGAACAAACACAACUGGAAAUAA